CUGGGCAUAGUAGUACCUGCCUGUCAUCCCAGUACUCUGGGAGGCUGAGGCAGGAGGA
rnacentral:miRNA from 1 species